AGGUCAGUCUGUUGAUGAUGAGCAUGAGAAACGGAGUAUCGUUACCAGUAAUGCACUGGCUAAGAACACAGAAGUUAAAACAGAAGUUAAACCCAGUUCAUUGUCAGAAGGAAAACCGACAGGGGAUGUCAAUACACAUUUAAAUUCUUCUAGUAUGGAUUCACAGCAAGUUGCAGAACCCUGCGUAGAAAGCAAAGUGAAGUCAGAAGAGACAUUAAUAGGCACUUCAUCAGCUGUGCCUUCUGGAAGCUUGGCAGAGAAGACAUCAAAUGGUGGUGGCAAAGAAACGUGGGAGGAAAAGCCUCGUGGCAAGUUGAAUGCAGGUGGCCCAAGUGAUGCUAAUGAAGACUCCUGCAACUCUUUUGAAACUGAGGAUAAGUUUAAUGUUUUAGGAGUGGUUGGGACUGAAGCUGUUGUAGGAUCUUCUCCGUAUCCAUCUUCAGAGAUUGACAGUGAGAACAAGAAAAAUGUGAAUGAUGAGUUGAACAUUCCUGGGCAGGCAGAGCAGAAACCACCUGCAAUGAUGCAUUCACUGUCCACAAAAGCAAGUGCUGGGGAAGUGCUGCAUCCUUCUGAUUCUAACAAGGACAUUAUUUCUGAAAAUAUACAUGAAGUGAAGGCUGAAAAGGCUGAUGAA
rnacentral:misc_RNA from 1 species